GGUUGUUUGACAAGAAGAUGAAGGGUGGAAUGAGUUUGUUUGUGAUUCAUCCAUGAAAGGCAAGAUUCACAGCCACAGUCAGACCAUCUAUUGGCUUUCCGAUAGCUGACUCUCGGAAUCUGGUGGUUGAGUUAUGUCAGAGUGACAGUAGCAUGAAGAGUUUCUACCUUCCAAGAGUCCGUCGAGGAGUCUGAAGAUUAAGCACAUUACGACGUCGAGAAUGUCUAGCAAUAAGAAGACGGGUAGACUGGCCGCAGAAAUCAAGGUUUCUGUGAUUCUUGAGACCCAUUCCGACAUCUGCAGAGAGAGAGGUGGACGACCGUCGGUUGACACUUAGUCUUGGAAUAUUGGAUAAGUAAAUUCGAAGUUGGUCGAUGCUUGCACAUCCACGGCUAUCCACGCGACACGUGGCCAGUUUUCUUUCCUUUUGUUUUACUUAUUUUAACAUUUUAAUGUUGUUUGGAUUGGGUACGCAAUUGAUCAAUUACACGAGGGUUAGAUGCCCCUUUGAUGUA